AGCGAACGCUGGCGGCGUGCUUAACACAUGCAAGGUCGCGCGGGAAAGAGACUUUCGGGUCUUGAGUAGAGCGGCGGACGGGUGCGUAAGACGCGGGUGGACCUAUCCGAGAGGCGGGGAUAACCCAGCGAAAGCGGGGCUAAUACCGGGAUGAGCCCCCGAGGACGGAAACGCGCGGGGGCAAAGGAUGCUACUCGGAGUAGUGGCAUGUCCUCACGGAGGGGGCCCACGGCCUAUCAGCAGUUGGUGUGGUAACGGCGCACCAAGGCGAAGACGGGUAGCUGGUCUGAGAGGAGUGGCCAGCCACGACGGGGACUGAGACACGGGCCCCGA
rnacentral:rRNA from 1 species